CCUACUGGAGGCAGCAGUGGGGAAUAUUGGGCAAUGGGCGCAAGCCUGACCCAGCCACGCCGCGUGAAGGAAGACGGCUUUCGGGUUGUAAACUUCUUUUAUCAGGGACGAAGCAAGUGCCGGUACCUGCUGCCUACGCCACGGCUAACUACGUGCCCGCCGCCGCGGUAAUACGUCGGUGGCACGCGUUAUCCGGAUUUACUGGGUGUAAAGGGCGUGUAGGCGGGAGUGCAAGUCAGAUGUGAAAACUAUGGGCUCAACACGUACCCUGCAUUUGAAACUGUACUUCUUGAGUGCGGGAGAGGCAAGAGGAAGGCGGGGUGUAGCGGUGAAAUGCGUAGAUAUACGGAGGAACACCAGUGGCGAAGGCGGAUUGCUGGACAGUAACUGACGCUGAGGCGCGAAAGCGUGUGGAGCAAACAGGAUUAGAUACCCGUGUAGUC
rnacentral:rRNA from 1 species